GACGAACGCUGGCGGCGUGCCUAAUACAUGCAAGUCGAGCGCAGGAAACUGACGGAACUCUUCGGAGGGAAGGCAGCGGAAUGAGCGGCGGACGGGUGAGUAACACGUAAGGAACCUGCCUCAAGGAUUGGGAUAACUCCGAGAAAUCGGAGCUAAUACCGGAUAGUUCAACGGACCGCAUGGUCCGUUGAUGAAAGGCGCUUCGGCGUCACCUUGAGAUGGCCUUGCGGUGCAUUAGCUAGUUGGUGGGGUAACGGCCCACCAAGGCGACGAUGCAUAGCCGACCUGAGAGGGUGAUCGGCCACACUGGGACUGAGACACGGCCCAGACUCCUACGGGAGGCAGCAGUAGGGAAUCUUCCACAAUGGACGAAAGUCUGAUGGAGCAACGCCGCGUGAGUGAUGAAGGUUUUCGGAUCGUAAAACUCUGUUGUAAGGGAAGAACACGUACGAGAGGGAAUGCUCGUACCUUGACGGUACCUUACGAGAAAGCCACGGCUAACUACGUGCCAGCCGCCGCCGUAA
rnacentral:rRNA from 1 species